rnacentral:rRNA from 1 species
GACGAACGCUGGCGGCGUGCCUAACACAUGCAAGUCGAGCGGAGAAUGCAGAAAUGUUUACAUGGAAGCGUUCUUAGCGGCGGACGGGUGAGUAACACGUGGGUAACCUGCCUCAAAGUGGGGGAUAGCCUUCCGAAAGGAAGAUUAAUACCGCAUAAGCCUACAGUGCCGCAUGGCACAGCAGGAAAAGGAGCAAUCCGCUUUGAGAUGGACCCGCGGCGCAUUAGCUAGUUGGUGAGGUAACGGCUCACCAAGUCGACGAUCAGUAGCCGGACUGAGAGGUUGAACGGCCACAUUGGGACUGAGACACGGCCCAGACUCCUACGGGAGGCAGCAGUGGGGGAUAUUGCACAAUGGGCGCAAGCCUGAUGCAGCGACGCCGCGUGAGGGAAGACGGUCUUCGGAUUGGUAAACCUCUGUCUUUGGGGACGAUAAUGACGGUACCUAAGGAGGAAGCUCCGGCUAACUACGUGCCAGCAGCCGCGGUAA